rnacentral:rRNA from 1 species
AUUGAACGCUGGCGGCAUGCUUUACACAUGCCAGUCGAACGGUAACAGGCCGCAAGGUGCUGACGAGUGGCGAACGGGUGCGUAAUGCAUCGGAACGUGCCCAGUCGUGGGGGAUAACUACUCGAAAGAGUAGCUAAUACCGCAUACGAUCUAUGGAUGAAAGCGGGGGACCGUAAGGCCUCGCGCGAUUGGAGCGGCCGAUGUCAGAUUAGGUAGUUGGUGGGGUAAAGGCUCACCAAGCCAACGAUCUGUAGCUGGUCUGAGAGGACGACCAGCCACACUGGGACUGAGACACGGCCCAGACUCCUACGGGAGGCAGCAGUGGGGAAUUCUGGACAAUGGGCGCAAGCCUGAUCCAGCAAUGCCGCGUGCAGGAAGAAGGCCUUCGGGUUGUAAACUGCUUUUGUACGGAACGAAACGGCUCUGGUUAAUACCCGGGGCUAAUGACGGUACCGUAAGAAUAAGCACCGGCUAACUACGUG